GACGAACGCUGGCGGCGUGCUUAACACAUGCAAGUCGAACGGUGAAGCGCUUUCCUUUUUGGUUGGUGUGGAUGAGUGGCGAACGGGUGAGUAACACGUGAGUAACCUGCCCCCUUCUUCUGGAUAACCGCAUGAAAGUGUGGCUAAUACGGGAUAUUCUGCGCCUGCUGCAUGGUGGGUGUGGGAAAGAUUGUGCCUUUGGGUGUUUUCGGUGGGGGAUGGGCUCGCGGCCUAUCAGCUUGUUGGUGGGGUGAUGGCCUACCAAGGCGGUGACGGGUAGCCGGCCGGAGAGGGUGGACGGUCACACUGGGACUGAGACACGGCCCAGACUCCUACGGGAGGCAGCAGUGGGGAAGAUUGCACAAUGGGCGCAAGCCUGAUGCAGCGACGCCGCGUGAGGGAGGGAGGCCUUCGGGUUGUGAACCUCUUUCGCCAGUGAAGCAGGCCUGCUCCGUGUGGGUGGGUUGACGGUAGCUGGAGAAGAAGCGCCGGCUAACUACGUG
rnacentral:rRNA from 1 species